rnacentral:lncRNA from 1 species
UUAUUUUUGAGAGAAAGAGAGACAGAGUGUGAGUGGGGAAGGGGCAGAGACAGAGGGAGACAUAGAAUCCAAAGCAGGCUCCAGGCUCUGAUCUAUUAGCACUGAGCCCGACGUGGGGCUCGAUCCCACGAACCUUGAGAUCAUGACCUGAGCCAAAGUUGGAUACUUAACUGACUGAGCCACCCAGGUGCUCCAAAGCUAUGACAUUUUAAACAAAAGCCAUAAAUAUUUUUAAAAUAGACUUUAUUUUUUUAGGGCAGUUUUAGAUUUACAGGAAAAUUGAGAAGGCAGUCCAGAGUUCCCAUAUACUCAGCACCCAGUUUCUCCCCUGGUUAACAUUACUUACAAUUAAUGAACCCAUAGUGACACAUUAUAAAUAUUUUUAAAAAUUUUUUAAAUUUAUUUUUGAGUCAGAGAAAAACAGAGCAUGAAUGGGGGAGGGUCAGAGAGCGGGAGACCCAGAAUCUGAAGCAGGCUCCAGGCUCCAAGUUGUCAGCACAGAGCCCGAUGAGGGACUUGAACUCACGGACUGUGAGAUCAUGACCUGAGCUGAGCUUAACCAACUGAGCCACCCAGGCGCCCCCCAUAGUGACACAUUAUAAUCAGCUGAACUCCAUUGUUCAUUUGGAUUUCUUUAGUUUUUACCCACAGCACCAUAUAACAUUUAGUUGUUAUGUCUCUUUUAGGCUCCUCUUGGCUGUGACAAUUUCAUACUUUCCUUGUUUUGAUCAUCUUGACAGUUCUGAGGAGGACUAGUCAGGUAUUUUGUCAAAUGUCCCUCUAUUGGAAUUUAUGUAAUGUUUUUCUCGUAACGCUUUUGGUUUAAAAGAGGACGAUCAUAGAAGUAAAGUGCCUUUUUUAUCACAUCAUAUCAAGGGUACGUGCUAUUAACAUGAUUUGUCACUGUUGAUGUUGACGUUGACCUGAGGAAUACUGAGCUAUUUAAGGCUUCUGUAAACAUUAUCAGUGGCUUUCAGGUCAGGUCAACUAUUCUGAAAAAAAUUUGGAAGUUCAAUUAUUUUUGAAUCAUCAUGAGACUUGUACAAUAGCUGGAAAAUUCAUUGCAAUUCAUGGAGCUGCCUAUGUUGGUGGGAAUUCCUAACUGUAAGGUUAAUUUUUUUUAAAUAUAUUUUUAAAAAUGUUUAUUUCUUUUAAGAGAGAGAGAGCAUGGGGGAAGGGCAGAGGGAGACAGAGAGAGAGAGAGAGAGAGAGAGAGAGAGAAUCUCAAGCAGGUUCUGUGUUGUGGGCGCAGAGCCCCAUGCGGGGCUUGAUCCUACAAACCAUGAGAUCAUGACCUGAACCAAAACAAAGAGUCAGAUGCUUAACUGACUGAGCCACCCAGGUGUCCCUAUACUAUAGGGUUAAUUUUAUACAGUGUGUUUUUGGUGAUGCUAUGAACUAGGAAUUAAUGUUAGAAUGGAAUGUCUUAACAUCAAUUCUUUUUUUUUUUUAAUGUUUUUUUUUGAGAGAGGGAGAGAGACAGAGCAUGAGUGGGGGAGGGACAGAGAGAGAGAGAGAGAGAGAGGGAGACACAGAAUCUGAAGCAGGCUCCAGGCUCCUAGCUGUCAGCACAGAGCCCGAUGUGGGGCUCGAACCCACAGACCGCGAGAUCAUGACCUGAGCCAAAGCUGGACACUCAACUGACUGAGCCACCCAGGCGCCCCUUAAGAUCAAUUGUUUAAAACAUUUAGCGUAUUUGAACAGAGAUUUUUGCAUACAUCCACUUGAAGCUAAGAGCAUCUGUAUCCAUCUGUACCCCAGAUGUAGCUUUUGAUUUUCUAGAAUUGUUUUGCAAAGGAACACAUCUUAUCUAAAAAAUGAUUUAGCUGUCUUGUUUCCACUAUUCUUGUUUCCAUUCACUGAAUAAACCUUUUGGAUGUGUGAGCAGUUACAUUUCCCACAUCCUACAUUUGAUCAUUUCUAGGAGCCAAUAAGAGAGUUCAGUGAAGUGAAUUUGAAUGAUUUAUUUGUACAGAAAGAAUGAAUUUCCUCUUAGCUGUACAUCCGACACCCACACGAUACCUCAUCUCUGAUGCUGGGAAGGAACAUUUUCGGGAGAAAUUUGAUGCCCAAUUAGUGUGUUUUAAUUUGGUCAGUGGAAUUUCCAUCUGGCUCUGAUGUGUAUUCUGGAGGACAGACUAGCAUGUAGUUAUACAGCUUAUUAGUUUGUGAGAUGGGGUCAUAGGUACAGAGGACAUUUCACCGAAGCAGGAUUUUAAAGAUUCUGAGUCCCCCCCUCUGUUUUUGUUAGCUACGGGAUGCAUGGGGACAGAGAAAGCACGUGAUACUUAUUUUGUGGUUAAACACCUUAUUAUCAACAGCUUAAAAUAAGAAAGAACAUCGCAAAUAUAGACUGCAGAUAGAGGUCUUCUCUCCUGAAGAAACGAGACAUUUACAGAUACAAUGAUAUCUCACAGAUAGGUGCUUCCUUGCUGUAGAAUUACUGGUCACAAAACUUGAGAUAAAUGUGUUUAGCAAAAAUUACAAGUAUGCUUUUAAAGUUUUAUUGUUCCAUAUAUGUAGAGGCAGGAGGAGGAGAAGGAAAAGGAGAGAGAGAGAGAGAGAGAGAGAGAGAGAAUAAACAUACUCAUCCCUCACAACUUCCGUACGUUGGGAGUAUGCACGCGCUAAUACUGAAAAGUCUAAGAUAAAACAUGCCUGUUUUAAAAGUGAAGUUUUCACUGCAGGGUUUGAUUCCUGUUAUGCUGAAAAAAACAGGAGAUUCCAGAUGUAAGGGAUCCUGGCCAAAAACCUCUACUUUCUAUUUUUUGCAAUGUAUCUUUUUAGUCCCUUUCAAGGAGGCACAUUCUCUGUUUUCUGGCCUUUGCUGUUCCAUUUUUACACACGGGAGCACGAUCUUAGCUGAUGCUGUCCAUGUCCCUUCUUCCUCUAAGAAUUACACUCCCUUCCUGGGUCCUGUCAGCUCUACAGCUUUGUCACACUGUGGAGUAAGGUCCACGCUUGCUUGUCUCUUAAUGUUGUCCCUGUCCUUUCUUUAGGCACCAAGUUCGCACGUAUUGUUUUGAUUUUCUGUCUUUCACUAAAGUGUAGUAAUAACAAUCUCAAAUGGUUGUGGGAUGUCGGGUUUGAAUGGGAAGGUCUCAGUGUGUUUCUGAUGCCAGUUCUUAAUUUCAGGUGAUUAGCAGUUCAUUAUUUUUCGGAGAGAGAGGUGACUGUGUAUCCAUAAAACUGAAAUCUUGACUUUUGCUCAUGCACAAUUCCAACUGUACUGAAUCACGACUUCUAAGAUACGAGCGAACAAAGCCCCAGGCAAAGAGGUUUACUGUGAAAACAUUCAGUCCUUCCAGGAACAGGACCAGUAAUUUCUCCAUCUGUCUGUAGAGUCUGAACCUCAGGAUGUCUGUGAACGUUUUAUUGUGUUCCACUGUACCCUCGAGUCUGUUUCCCAGCCCUGGAAAAUGCCCAUGAGAAAGGGUUGUGCAACGCUAACUGUUAGUCACUUUAUAUUUCCUGAAUAUUCCCUAUUUAAUUCCCUGGUAGCUGGCAAUAACAUCUAGGAUUUAAAUUGCUGAAGGGAAUUCGGGAAAACCCACAUAAAUGUCUAAGCUGGGGUUUGGCAGGCUCUGUGUUUUGGUGACAUAACAAUGCCAUAACGAGAGAUUUCAUCUCCCAGAAGAGGCAAGAAAUCCCUACCACCGCCAGACACCCACCGACACUCAUCUGAGUCUGAGGAUCAUCGUUUGUUAUAAAUGGAUUGGACAUAGUUUUUCAUCUGAUUCCCGGGCUGCUGGAAUAAAAAUUUGGCCCUGGAGUUUAAAUGCAACGAGAUUUCUUUAGAAAUGGGCACCUCGAAGGGUUAGGGGACUUUUUAGAAAGACAAAAGAAAAUGUAGUACGUUUUCUGUAAGAGUGGGCAACAGCUUCUCCGUGAAGAGCCCACCCCACUCCCUCCGGAUGGAGUCUGAGCUCUGCGGAGGGACAGGCUGGGCCUGACCUAACCACCAAGCCAACCCCAGCAAUCAGAUGGGUGAUGCUGUUCCCAGGCAGACUUUUCUCACACCCUAGAGGCUAAUGGACGCGAUUUUUUUUUUUUUAAUUUUUUUUUUUUCAACGUUUAUUUAUUUUUGGGACAGAGAGAGACACAGCAUGAACGGGGGAGGGGCAGAGAGAGAGGGAGACACAGAAUUGGAAACAGGCUCCAGGCUCUGAGCCAUCAGCCCAGAGCCUGACGCGGGGCUCGAACUCACGGACCGCGAGAUCGUGACCUGGCUGAAGUCGGACGCUUAACCGACUGCGCCACCCAGGCGCCCCACGGACGCGAUUUUUAAUUUAAGACAGCCUUUUACAACUUGAGGUAUUAUAUUUACCCUUAUCACUGCGAAAAUGGUCUGACACGUCUUGAAUUCAAUUCCACCCUCCAUGUUGUUUGAUGCUUUAUAAGUUUUGAUUGCUUCAAGGUACCUUUUCUCUUUGUUCAUUUUUUGUUAUUAUUGUGGUUUGGACGUAAGAAUAUGACCGUGUGCUCUAGAAUUUCAUGGCUUUUUUUAAAAGUUUAUUUAUUUAUUUUGAGAGAGAGAGAGCAGAAGAGGGGCAGAGAGAAAGGGAGAGAGAGGGAAUCCCAAGCACGAUCCACACUGUCAGCACAGAGCCCCAAGUGGGGCUCGAACCCACGAACCAUGAGAUCAUGACCUGAGCCAAAAUCAAGAUUCGGACGCUUAAGCGACUGAGCCACCCAGGCGCCCCUGGAAUUUGAUGACUUUUUAUUGGGGAGACUUGUAUACUCGCAAAGGAAGUUCAUUGUCCCCCUCCUUACUGUUCUCCAUGUAUACCUGCUAAUUCUGUUGUAGUUACUGAGUCAUCCGGGCUACUGCUCUGUCUAGUUCUCUCAUAUUUAAUUCUGUCACUUUGAUAAAUGUUGAGGUCACCAGUUACCAUUAUAUAUACUACUGGCUGCAUUUCGCCACGUAAGACAUUUUUAUUAUAUUUACUGGAUCACGAAUAGUAUGUUGUGUUUUUUACCAUUUCAUGGUCUACUAUUACAUGGUGAUUUCGUCUGCCCAUGGUUCUUGCUGUAGCCUUGACUUAAUCCGACACUGUGGCGGUCCGCUCAGCUCUUCUGAAAUUUGUGCAGGUGUCUUAGAGCGUAAGCCAUCUCGUUCCUUCAAAGGUUGUCAUCGGCUCCUGUUCACGUGACUCCUGUGGACAGGAGACUGUUGGGCUUUGCUGAAGGGUGAAGUCUAGUCUCUUUGCUCAUUGUGUUGCAAUGAUAUCUCCUCAUUUACAUCUGUAGCUCUAACUCCAGAAGUUGGACGUCUAGAAGGCAUCUGUAUUCAUUUCCCAAGGCUGCCAUCAAAUGUACCGUAAGCCGGAAGGCUUAAAACGAGAGAAAUCUGGGGCGCCUGGGUGGCACAGUCGGUUAAGCGUCCGACUUCAGCCAGGUCACGAUCUCGCGGUCCGUGAGUUCGAGCCCCGCGUCAGGCUCUGGGCUGAUGGCUCGGAGCCUGGAGCCUGUUUCCGAUUCUGUGUCUCCCUCUCUCUCUGCCCCUCCCCGUUCAUGCUCUGUCUCUCUCUGUCCCAAAAUAAAUAAAAAAAAAAAAAAAAAAAAAAAAAAAAAAAAAAAAACGUUGAAAAAAAAAAACGAGAGAAAUCUGUUGUCACGCAGCUUUGGAGGCCUCAAGUCCAGAAUCGAGGGUCAGCAGGGCCACGCUCCUUCCGAGAUCCUAGGAAGAAUCCUUCCUGAAGCCCCUGAUGGUGGCAUUCCUUGACAUCCUCAGUGCUCCUUGAUGUGGAGCCGCCUCUCUCCAAUCUCUGCUUCAUCUUCAAAUGACCUCCUGGCAGAGACGUUAGUCAUAUUGGACUCUGGGCCCACCUUGCUGCAGUAUGAUCUCGUCGUAAGGAAUUACACCUGUAAGACCCUUUCCCCGAAUAAGAUCACAUUGUAAAGUACUGGGGGCUGGGACUUUAACAUAUCUUUUGGGGAAGGGGGACACAAAAUUUUAAUAUAGUUUCCAUGUCAUUUUUUAACGGCUUUGUUGAGAUACCUUCCUGUGUUUUUUUUUGAGAUAGUUCCUGCCUUAUGACCUUUCCGUUUGCAGUGUCUUUGCCCCAGUCUUCUCAUGGCCUCCUUAGAUCCUUCAGCCCUCUGCUCGAAACUUCUUCAGAGAGGCCUCUUCCGACCACUCUAUUUAAAAUAGAAACUCUCAUCCACUUACACAUAUCACUGUCUGACGUUUUGUUUGUUUGAUGACUGCACAUUUCCCCAGGUACAUUGUAGGCCCUGGGAGAGCAAGAAAUUCACCUUGCCAUUGACCAGAUGUCCCCAGGGACUAGAACGGUGCCUGGCACACAGUAGGCGUUCAGUUAAUACGUGCUGAAUUAACGUGAGAAUGAAUAUAGUCGUAGCAUCAUCCAUUGCCCUAUCACUUUAUUGAGCAGAGUUCUGAAUCAGAGUGAAUAAGGAGGAGAUAUAUGGGAAUGUUUCAGUGGAGCAUAGGACAACAGUAUGUGCAAAGGGCCUGAGGCAAGAGUGUGCUUGGCAUGUCCAGGUAACAACAGGGUUGGCCAGUGAGUGUAAGUGAGCAGUAGGAGAUGUGAUUGGAGAAAGGGACCAUAUCAAGCCCCUCUCCCCCUUCCCACAAUCUUUGGGCCACCUGACGUUCUUUCCCCGGCUGUUCUAAUAGCUGUCUUCCCAUUCUUGGGUGGUGGCUUAAAUACCACCUCCCUCUCAUAUUCCACUGCCACAGCAUCCCAUAGCAUUUAUCACCAGCAGUGAAUCCACUCACUUCUUUAUUGUCUUGCCCUCCCACUGCCCCAACCGACACCGAAGUGCUGUGUGAGUCAAGAUCACGUUUGUUUGAUAACUGUUGUGUUCCUGGCAUCCAAAAAGGUGCACACUCCCGCAAGUGUUGGUUUGUUGGUCGAGUGAGUGAAUGGGGACGAACUUCUAUCAGUAAACGAGUUCCCCUGAGUUGCUUAAUUCAGUUUAUAAAAACACAGUUUAUAAAAGUUUCUCUUUUCCGGGGAGGAAAGGAAGGGGAGAAGAGAGAGAAAGGACAGCCAUAUCUAAAUAUGCUUCCAUCUCCCAUAUUUAUUACCAAAUAAUACAGUUAUAUUUCUGGCAUUCUCCUGUGUGACAUUUUUCUAUUCCCAUGACCUUAAGGCAUAUCCCUUAUGAAUUCUGAGGCUCUGUUUUCUCUCUUGCCACACGUAUCGAGUUUUCACCCAACAUAUUUUCCCAGUGUUUUUUGAUUCCUUUUCACAUAGUCUUCAUAACGUUAACCUUAUAAGGCACAUAAAUAUUUCUAAUCUGAGUUUAAACAAGAAAAAAGUGAAGUUAAUUGUCUACAGUUAGUAAGUUCAUCGAUGAACUUUUAUUAAGUGGUCUGCUUACCAACUCCCCAUAUAUUUAUUGUGUACAUACUGGAUACGAGGCACUGGUCUAGGCUCUGGGGGGUCCUGGAGUAAGCUGGGCAGGCGAGAUGUGGUUCUUGCCUUCCCAAAGCUUCUGUUCUGGUAUGAGGCAGACACUAAAAAUUAUUUUCAUGAGAAGUUAUUGAAUUAAAUCUGCAUGUAAUUGAUACACAAAAAAGGAGUAUGUGAUGCCAUGAAAGCAUCUUACGGUAGGACCUGAGCUAGUCUUAGGGGUCAAGGACACCUUCUCUGCUAGUUUCUUCUUCAUUAAACAUUCUUCUCUUUUCUGUUACGAACAGAACUCUGAUUUCGUUUGAAUGGGCAGAGUAUCCAUUUUUGUACUUCCCUCGCAACGAGGGAUGGCCACUGGACAUUGCACUGACUAGUCACGUGGUAGAAGUGGACCGGAUGGUGCCGGCUGAGUUUCGCUUUCCUGGAGUAGAUUCCGCCUCUUCGUCCUCAGUCUUCUUUCCACUUCCUCCUUGAUAGGGGUGUCCAUGGAGUGAUACGAAGACCGAAGUCACAAAGGCAUUGACGAUAUCUGGGACCUGGUGCCCCUGCCCUUGGGUUUCUAUCCCCCAACCUCUUACGAGGUGCUAACAAUGAGCCCCUAUUUGAUGAAGCCACAGAAGAGGGGUUUCUGUAUUACGCAGCUGGGUGCAGUUCCUAGUUAAUACAAGCUUACUUGAGGAAAUGGCAUGUGAACUGGGCUUUGAAGGAUGUGAGUAGCAACUAACUGAGUCCCCACGUGCUCUGCAUAGACCUAGGGCUUUUGAACGCCGGGGUCUCAUCAUCUGAGUUGAAGGGUAUCGGAGCACAAUUUCUUAAAUCCCUCUACAGUUGGACUUGACGAUGAACCUGCCGGAGGAGAAAAGGCUAAAAGCAGCAGCUGGCCCUUGCCAUGUGCGAGGCACUGUUCUAAGGGGUUUACACCCGUGACCUCUUUCGGUUCUUACGACAACCCUUCGAGAGAGGUGCCAUUGUUGCCCCCUCUUAGUUGAGGAAGCCAAAGCAAAGACAGAUCAAGCCAGUGGCUCAAGAUUGCAUAGCUACUAAACGGAAGAGCCAGGAUUUGAAGCCCCGUAGUGUGGCUUGAGAGCCUGAGCUCAUUAACUCGUGACGAGUGGGCUUGACCCAAACUUUGGACUCAUUCCUGUCUUUGAUGCCUAAGAGGCCUCCUGAGAUGUGGUGCCCAAACAGGAGACGUUGACUGUUCUUACCAAGGAGUGCACUUCUGGACUCUGUUCCUCGCUAGCUGAUAAGCCAGUUAGGUGAUGGUUUUGGAAUACCUUCAUGUCGGUCCUCUCCUUUUUGUUAUUUCUGGGAACCCUACCGAACCAACUGUUCCCUCAAGUCAUGAGACAGAGAAGUUCUUGAUAGUCUUUUUUUAGACCCUGACCCAAAGUCUAUCAAUUUGUUCCAAGUUGCGAUAAAAAUAUUUAUCGCAAGCACACGCAUGUUGUUUUAUUUUUUCCCUAGCUUCUGGACCGUUGCUUUGUCUGUCUUUUAUUGCUGCUUCUGGGAUGCCCCUGGAAACACGGAAGCUUCCCCCAUUAGGUCCAGCUCAGGGUGCGACUCAGAAAGCAGUCCAUGGAUUACUAGUUCAAAACCAGUUCGAAAACUGUUACUGGUCUGCGGCAAGAUGAGUAGGGAAAUGAAGAGGCUUCGGGCAAUUUGGCAUGGCCACAGUGUCCAAGGAUGUGGUCCCUGAGCUAGUCUUGUUGAUGGGGCACGGGCCACUCCAGGUGCUGGCGCACUCACCCAAUGAGCUGGUUGUCACAGGAGCUGUGUUACAGGCAUGGGCAACAGGACCACUUGGUUCACGAUGGAUUGGAAAUGAGAACAAAAGUGCUUCUUCACGACACAUAGUUUGAGAAUCCCACCUGUGACUCGCGGUGGCAAUUCAGCGUGUGUCAUGUAAUCUGGCCCUCGACCUUAUUUUGGUAAGCUUUAUUCUAGUCAUUUCAUCUGUGGAGCCUCCUUGCCUGUGAUGCCACAGCCUGUCCUUUCUUUCCUUCACAUCUACCGUAGCACUUAGCAAGGUGCUGGCCACAUACAGGAGACAAACCUCAAAUGCUUUGGGGUGCCUGGGUGGCUCAGUCGGUUGAGUGUCUGACUCUUGAUUUCAGCUCAGGUCACGAUCCCAGGGUUGUGGGAUCGAGAUGGCAGUUCGAGUCUGCUUAGAAUUCUCUCCCUCUCUCCCUCUCUCUGCCCCUCCCCUGCUCGCACUCUCCUCUCUCUCUCUUAAAAACAAAACAAGGGUUUUGUUGUGUUUUUGCCGUGACUCAAAUCAUGAGAUGAGGGGGGUUGGGCAGGCAGGAGAAGAGUCAACUUUGCCUCACUUGGUGCAAAAAAGGGAAAACAAUCCCUCAUAACUUAGAUUUUAGAAAUACAAUGUCAAGGAAGAAGCUUCACGAGUACUAUUCUAAUGACCAUUUAUGGGAGCCUGUCGCACACCAGGCAUUAUGCUAGAGGCUGUAUUUGUUUCCAUAUGUUGCUUCACUUAAUCUUUGUACCAUCUCGUGAAGGUAGGUAUACUUACCGCCAUUUUGCCAAUGAAGGAGAUGACGUAUCAGAGAGGCUGAGUGACUUAUAUGAGGUCACACAGCUACUGAGUGGUGGUGGUCUGUCUGACUUCAAAGCCUGUGUGCUUUUUCUUCUUCCCGUUAUUACUUAGUGACAGCAUGUAUUGCUAAAAGGGAAGGUUACCGGAUUUAGAAAACGACUUCAAAUGUAUUUGAAAUAUCAUUUUUCUAAAAUAGCUUUUUUGGUAAUUGUUGCUAUGUCUUAGAUUUCCAUUAAAGCCCUGUCUGUUCUAUACUUUGCUUUUACUUCAGACGAUGGGGCACGAUCUUCCUCGGCCCAGGCCGUCCAGCAAAUUACAAUUCCAGAUUCACCUUUGCACCUCUUGGGAGAAGACAGACAGAGCCUUCUUUUUGGGGUCUAAUUAGGCCGCGAUUUAGCCUCGUGGCCCCGGAGAUCGGGACAUGCAGCUUUAGCAGAGACGUGCAUCCCGUCUCUGGGGACAGCAGGGUUGUCACAUGUCUCCGUGGUGUAUCAUAUGCAAACUGUGUCUAGGAUGGGCUUUUCAGAUGCCGCUUUCUGGCUCCUGGGGGAGAAUUGUUUUCUAAUGUUUUUAGUAGUUUCCAAAGGCUUUUAUUCCCUAAUUUAAAUGUAUAAUUACCUGCUCCUAAUUAAGUCCCGUCUCUGAAAACUGCGUCAACAACUUGCUGUCCGGAGUUAAGGUUGAACUGCAGUUUAGACCAGACAAGGGCACAUUUACUGAGGACCAAGAGAUACUCAGCCUGGUUGUCUAAUUAUCCCCCCGAACACAGAUUUAUAAUUGUAUUCCGUUAGAUGUAUUUUAGAAAACUGAACUGACUGCCUUAGGGAUGAAGCAGGUAAAAUGGAGAUUUUUAUGGUAGUUUAAUUUCUUUUUUUUUUUUUUAACGUUUUGUUUUAUUUUUGAGACAGAGAGAGACAGAGCAUGAACGGGGGAGGGUCAGAGAGAGGGAGACACAGAAUCUGAAACAGGCUCCAGGCUCUGAGCUGUCAGCACAGAACCCGACGCGGGGCUCGAACUCACGGACCGCGAGAUCAUGACCUGAGCCGAAGUUGGCUGCUUAACCGACUGAGCCACCCAGGCACCCCUCUUUUUUUUUUAAGCUUAUUUCUUUUGCGAGAGAGGGGUGGAGAGAGCAUGAGAGGGGGAGGGGGAGGGGGAGAGAGAGGGAGAGAGAGAGAGAGUGAGGGGGGCAGAGAGAGAGAGAGAGAGAGAGAGAGAAUCCCAAGCAGGCUCCACUGCCAUCGCAGAGCCCAAUUCAGGGCUCGAACUCACAAACUGUGAGAUCAUGACCUGAGCCAAGACCAAGAGUUAGAUGCAUAACGGCCUGAGCCACGCAGAUGUCCCCCCUCCACUUUUUUGUUGUUUUUUUUUUUUCUUGUAAGUAGGCUCCACACCCAAUGUGGGGCUUGAACUCACAACCAUGAAAUCAAGAGGCGCAUGCUCUUAACUACUGAACCAGCCAGGCGCCCCAGUAUUACUAAUUUGAUUGUGGAAAGGUGUUUGAGAAACUACGUCUUUUAUAUUUUGUUUAUGUUGCGGUGAUUCAGUAAUUAAAUGAGAAAGCAGACUAAUAGUGACUCAGGAUUCCAAUAUGAAGAGGAGAGACAUAAGGAAGGAAGAAAGUAAAUUGCCCUCUUCAGAACGUAAGCAGUCUGCUGAAAAGUAGUUUACCUAGCAUAGCAUCUCGCAAAUAGAUGUGUGUGUACUUAAGUAAUUUUUCUUUAGCCAAUUAUCUCUGUCACAUCACUGUUUCUUUAAUCCCUCACAUCUAAUUGCUGAUCAAAGCCUAAAUUCCAACUGCUCAAUGAAGCUCUUAAUCUGUCCCUUCCUCUCCAAUCCUGCCGCCCUAUAGCUACUUUACCUCUUGUUCCUGAACUGGUCUCCCUUGACCCCAGGAUCUUCCACUCCUUGAUCCGACUUUUGUCCUGGUACCAUGGUGGUGGCUUAUUCGAAAACAUGUACUUGAUCAUGUCACUCUACCACUGGAAAGCCUUCAUUUCUCACAGGAAGAAGGAGGAGGAGGAGGAGGAAGAGGAGAGGAGAGGAGGAGGAGGAAGAGGAGGAGAAAGGAGGAGGAGAAAGGAGGAGGAGGAGAAAGGAGGAGGAGGGAGGAGGAAGAGGAAGAGGAGAGGAAAGGAGAAGGAGGAAGAGGAGGAGAAAGGAGGAGGACGAGAAAGGAGGAGGGAGGAGGAGGAGAAAGGAGGAGAAGGAGGAAGAAAGCAGAGGAGGAGGAAGAGAAGGAGAAAGGAGGAGGAGGAGGAGGGAGGAGGAGGAGGAAGAGAAAGAGAAGGAGGAGGAAGAGGAGGAGAAGGAGGAGGAAGAGGAGGAGAAGGGGGAGGAAGAGAAGGAGAAAGGAGGAAGGAGGAGGGAGGAGGAGGAGGAAGAGUGGGAGGAAAGGGGGCAGGGGAGAAGGAGGAGAAGAGAAAGACAAGGUAGAACCCAGACACGAAAGAAAGAUAAAGACAAGAUGGAGCACAGAGCCCCUGCUUCGUGAUGCUUGUCCACCUUUCCUCUAGCAUCCCUGCUAUUCCAGCCUCAGGGCCGAACCGGUGGCUCCUAGGUCUCUCCUUCCGUCAAACUGCUCUUGGCCGAGGACGCUCUUCACCAGCCUGCCUCCGAUCCCAGGUUUUGGCACCGGCUCCUCCUCGGUCAGCCCUCCCUGACAGUCUCUUCCUGCUCCCUCUGCUUCUACUUAACAACAAUCCCAGCGUGUUUUCAAUAUCAGUCUAGGUGCCAUCUAUUUUAAUUAUUAUGUUUUUAUCUAAUUAUUUUGUUUUAUUAUUUUUAAAGGUUUAUUUAUUUAUUUUGAGAGGGACAGAGACAGCGUGAGCAGGGGAGGGGCAGAAGGAGAAGAGAGAGAGAAUCCCGGGCAGGCCCUGCCAUGUCAGCACAGAUCUCGAUGUGGGGCUCGAACUCAUGAACUGUGAGAUCAUGACUGGAUCUGAAACCGAGAGUCAGACGCUUAACCGACUGAGCCACCCAGGUGCCCCUAAUCCUUGUAUUUUAAUGACAGUGUGCUGACCACCUAGAUUUGGAUUCUAGCUUUGCAUUUCCUAGCUGGGUUAAGUUGACAAAUGGCUUAAGUUCUCUGUACUUGGGUUUACUCGUUUGUAAGGUGGGGAUAUUAAUAGUGCCCACUUCUUGGGACUGUAGUGGAGAUUCAGUGAAUUAAUGUGUGCAAAGCUUUUGGAACCCUGGCUGGGACAAGCUGGGUGCUUCACUGAUUCCACGGAAAAGCCAUUAUGUGAGUUGCAUAGAUCUUAUUUGAGAAAAUACUUUAAAGGCAUUUUAUUUCUGCUCUUGUGCUUACUUGUGAGAUAAAUAAUUGGAUAAUAUUAAAUUCUGUAGCAACAACUUGCUAUUUGUCUGUAGAGUUCUUAGAAAAACGAGAAACUUUUCAAAUAAAGGACUGUUAUACUCCUGGGCAGAGAAGUUUACUGCAGUUUGAAUAUUAGUAAUUUUAGUCAGAGCCUUGACUGAUCGGUAGCUUAUCUGCAAUUUACCCAACUCGUUUGCUCGGUUUCUGAGUUACCUUAACCACACAGCAGAACCAUAGGUAAGAAGCAAAGAUUUCUGGUGUUGGUUCCUGGACCAUGCGAUUCAGGGAACGGCCGUGAGGUUCCUCGUUUUCUGUGGGUGAUUCUAUUUUUCACCAUUAUAAAUGUUGCUGAAGUGAACAUCCUUUACCCAAAACUCUUGUGCACCUUUAAUUAUGUCCUUAGAGCAAGUUGAUCAAAGUAGAAUGAUUGAGUCAAAGGAAAUAAAUGGAUAUUAGUUAUUAGCGUACCUUCCAAACAAGGUUUUAUUCAUUUAUACUCCUACCCAUAGCACUUGGAAGUGUCCCGUCUCCUCCACACUUCUGCUAUCACUGAGUAUUCAUCUCGUUUUCUUUUUUUAAUAUUUAUUUAUUUUUGAGAGAGAGAGAGACAGAGACAAAGUGUGAGCGGGGAAGGGGCAGAGAGAGACAGACACUGAAUCCAAAGCGGGCUCCAGGCUCCGAGCUGUCAGCACAGAGCCUGAUGCGGGGCUCGAACUCACAGGCUGUGAGAUGAUGACCUGAGCCGAAGUCAGACGCUCAACCGACUGAGCCACCCAGGCACCGCUUUAUCUUGGUUGUUGUUGUUGUUGUUGUUGUUGUUGUUGUUUUAAUUAUUUCCUUCCUUCAUAAGCCAGAGGAAAGAAAAGACAUAUGAAGAAGGUGUUUUGCUCAUACAGGGGAGGAGAUAUUCACCCUCAUUUCUCUUCCUUAUUCAUCUGUAAUAAAAGAUUCAUUUUUAAUAAGAGACUUAUGCUUUAGACUCCACUCUUUUUCUGAUCGCAGACUUCUAAUAUUCAAAACUUUUCAUACGCAGUACAUUUCUUUUAAAUCUUCAUAAAUGAGGUGCAAGAACAGAAACCUGCUAAUACUGCCACUGUGUGCAGUAAGUGUGGAUAAGAAGAAUCGCAAAGACUUUAAACUCCAGAAUCCCAAGACUCGCUUUCAAAAAGGGACGUGAGGAAUACCAGAAACAGUGGGAAUCAAAGAAGGUCAGCCUGGAGCUCAAUAUUUUCACUUAUUGGAUAGGACUGCGUAGAGUUUAAUGAGCGAUAGCCUUUAAUUUCUUUAAAGCUUUUAUUUAUUUUGAGAGAGAGAGCGAGAGAGAACACAAGCAGGGGAGGGUCAGAGAGAAGGAGCGAGAGAGAGAAUCCCAAGCAGGCUCCACACCGUCAUCGUGGAACCUCAUGGGGGGCUUGAACCCACGAACUGUGAGAUCGUGACCCGAACUGAAAUCAAGAGUCAGACGCUCGACUGACGGAGCCACCCAGCUGCCCCCAGAGACCUCUGACAUGCAUGGUUUGUGGAGCGACUCAAGAUCUCUUGGUGACAUUGUUUGAAAAAUGAUCAGAACAGUUAAUUUUAUUCUCUUUUUAUGCAAAAAGGUAUGAAUUAGAAAGAUUAAUACAUAACUUUGUGAUGAUUGGUGGUACUAUUUAUUACUUCCUACAGUUUUCUUAUUAGGUACUCUCUGGAAUGAUUAUGUAUGUAUAAAGGAACGUUAAUGCAUAUUUAUAGCUAAAAAGUAGUUAGACAUGGGGAUUUUCACUCUACUGUAUAUGUAUAUAUGUAUUUUUUCCCUAUGUAUAUGUAUGUAUACAUACACGUAUAUAUACAUAUAUAUUUUUUGAAAGAAAGGACCUUCAUGAUGUUCGAAAGUAAAAAUCUGGGGAGCUGCGGGAGGGAAGGAAGGGGUUAAACAUGGCAGGAGGGUGCCAGGACAGGCCUCUGGGCUGACUUCUCAUUAGGAAAUCUGGUAUUUCAGGUUGGACUGGGCCUUGGGAAUGGCUGCUCCUUUGUUCAAGAGAAAGAGUGCGUUGGAUCUGCCUGCACUUUCAGACCUGACUUGUAGAAAAUGAAUUCUAGAACUUUCUAGGGUCAGAAAGGGAGGCGGCCCUGCAGUACCUUGAACAGAGGUAACCCCUUGAAUCGGAGAUGGUGUCCCUGAUCCUCAGGUUACGCACACUGACAGCCUGGACACCCAUGGUGGUGAUUAACCCUACGGAUCCCUCCAUUCCCCUCACAUUUAUUUUGAGAUUCGCUCUUUAGUAAAAGCGACCUUGACGCUGGCGGGAUUUUUUUUUUUUUCCUUCAGAUUUUAUUUAUUUAUUUAUUUAUUUAUUUAUUUAUAUUAUGAAAUUUAUUGCCAAAUUGGUUUCCAUACGACACCCGGUGCUCAUCCCAACAGGUGCCCUCCUCCAUGCCCCUCUCCCACUUUCCCCUCCCUCCCACUCCCCAUCAACCCUCGGUUUUUAUUUCAAGUGCUUUUGUUUUCCUGCUUUUCAUAGCUCGGGAUACAUUUAUUUAUAUUUCUCUGAUGACCAGCCUCUGUGCGUGGACUCCUUCUUGCGCCGUUUUUUCAAAAAGUUGCUUCGUUUAACCUGUGACUAAUUGGUUAGAUAAAACCAGCAUAUGUACUCCUAGAACCUAGGAGUACAUUUCGUCCCAGGCCUGGGAAGGAGGAGUAAAUUGCACUUCAUUCCUGUCAUUCUUUCUCUUUCCCUUUCCUGCAAAAUUAUCAUCAAAAGUCGUGUUGGAAAAUUCUUCAUUUGUCUAUCAGAGCUCUUUCAUUCAUUCGUGUAUUAUUCCGUAAAUCUCCCCCCCCCAGCCAGCUCCUGGACUCCAAGUGUCCUCCCACCCACACACAGCACAGGAAGGGAAGCUUCUCUAGGAGAAGAAACCGGUCAGGAAGGAAAGAGUAAGGACUAUGGAAUGUCAACUAAGUGAAAAAUUUGUGAUUUGGUGGAAAGAACAGCAGACCAGAGUCUAACACGUGGGUUCUAGGCUUAGCUUCCUACUGAUGGGUUGUGUGAAAUUGUCCAAUUGCAUCUAAUGUCUUGAGUCCCCACCUCCUUCGCUUGUAAAAUGGGGUGGCCUGCUUCCCUAGGAUGGUUGUGGGAAUCCGAUGAGACACUGCACGCCAAGUCUCUCUGUAAAUGCUCAGGCUCUUUCUGAGAGCACGGUGCCAUCAUUAUUCCGGAAGGAAAACAUGAGACAGGCAGGACAGGGCGUCCGUGUUGGGAAUUCAUUCUGGAGCGAGGUCGCAGCAGUCAUUGGGAAGAGUCUUCCUUGGGCAAUUUCAUAUUUACUUAUUUAAGUAAUCUCUACACCCAACGUGGGGCUCGAACUCAUGACCCCGAGAUCAAGACUCGCUUGCUCUUCUGACUGAGCCAGCCAGGUGCCCCAUUCCAUGGGUAACUUAAAUGACAAUGCCUCAAGGAAUUUUCCCCGGCUCUACCCCUCCCCAAGUCCAGGUUGUGCCCCUGGCAUGUGCCCCUAACACUGUAUACUUUUGUCCCCGAGCAUUUUGCAGGUAGCGGUACCUGUGUCCAUCUACAAGACCAUAAGCCCGUCGAAGUCAGGGCCUGCUCUCAUCCAUCACGAUGCCCACAGAUCCUGGCGCUGUGUCCAUAGGGACAGUAAGUAGACAAGUGGAAGUAUUUCUCACGAGCGAAGACCCGGAUGAGGCAUUCGGUCAGACAGCAUGACACGUCAAAGGAUUCUGCUGGGCACUUACGCUGUGUGGGAAAGUCAGCAGAUUGAAACCAGGUUUGGGGUCCAGAAGGCCAGUCUUAAGUCCUAGUAGUCUCACUGCUUAGCUAUAUUAUCACCAAGACAUCCCUGUGCUAUCGGGAAGCGUGCUCUCGCUUCUCAGCUUCGGAGAGUGACAACCUCUCUGUGCUUCAACAUCCUCACUUGAAAAAUGGAGCAAAAAAACACCUUCAAAUGCCUUAUCUUCUUCAGCCACGUUAAGCCGCGGUUUGGGUUUUUGUUCACGGCGCCAUAAGCAAAUGCUCUAAAGCGUUUUGUUUGGUUUUCAUUUUCCUGAAAAAUGACAACAUUCAGAUAUUUGCAGCAUUUCUCAAAUGAUGGGUAACAUUGUAACAAGAGCCUUGUCCUUUUUCUCUUGGCUCAUCUGUAACUCCAGACUUCCUGUUUGUUCGGGUUGUCGGAUGGCUUGGAAUCCUGGAGGUUUGAGGGAAGCCGAGUACCUGAAUAAGGCUAAUGACUUUGUAGAAGCCCAUACUUCUUGCCUGGUGCUCACCUCCCGCUACCACUAGCCUCGCACAAGCCGCUGUCAUCUCUGGCCUCCUGACGUACUUCCCCUUCUUGCCUCCAACCCACUUUUCACAACACAGAGCAGACGUUCCCCGAAUGCACAUCUGAUCGUACUCCUACUGACCGAGAGCCCUUCGGGAGGCCCCCCCCUGGCUGGCCAGGGCUCUUUCUCAGGAUCCUUCUCUUCUAUGUCAGUCUGUCUGUCUCUCUCUCUCUGUCUGUCGCACUCUCUCUGUCGCUUUCAGUUCCUCCAGCCAGCUGGACUCAGUUCUCUCCACCCCAGACCUAGUUCUGCUCUUCCUUCUGCAUGGAAUAUUCUCUUCUGUCUUUGCCUGGCCAACUGUACUAUCGUUCGGGUCUCAGUUUUAAUGGCACUUCUUGGUGGUGGGCCUUUCCUGACCCCCUAGACCAGACUGAGCAUCCUUGUGAUGUGAUCCUGACUCUUCCUCUGGCCUGCCUCGUCCCGUAGAGCUGUCUGUAAACUCCAUGAAGGCAGGAGCAAGCUUCUCCUGUUCACCUCUGCACCUCCAGAACCUGCCGAGUGCCGUGUGCCUCGCGUAGAUGGCGUGCCUCAGGUAGGAGUGUGCCUGUAAUGGGUUCAUUUUAAUAGAAAGGGUAGUUCCAGGGUGCCUGGGUGGUUCAGUCAGUUGAGCGUCUGACUACGGCUCAGAUCAUGAUUUCACGGUUUGUGAGUUCGAGCUUCGCAUCGGGCUCGCUGCUGUCAACGCAGAGCCUGCUUCCUAUCAAAUCCUCUGUCCCCCCUCUCUGCCCCUCCCCUCUCGUGUUCUCUCAAAUAAGACAUUUUUUUUUUAAAGAAAGGAUAGUGCCACCUAGCCAAAGCUAUAUCAUUUACUCUUCCACUAUGGUGCUCAUUCAUUCAGUUGUUAAUCCUCUACUCUGCCCGGCACUGUUCUGGGGGCGGGGCAUACAGCACUGAACAACACAGCUAUAGAUUGAGCUGGAAGGACAUUUCAGGCAGAAGGGAAGCCUGCAAAGCAGGUGGUUUCAAGGAACAGCUCGAAGGGCGGGCGGGAGGCUGGAGAACCAUGGGCCAGGAGAAGGAGGAAGGAGUGAGGACUUUGAACUUUACUCUGCCGGGGGUCUGAGCAGAGGAGGUAGGGGAAAUCCAACUGACUUGCGUUUUAAAAGGAUCCCUCUGACCUAUGUAUAGACUACUGACUCAAGGGAGAUAAGGCAGAAAGCCAGGACGCUAGUUAAGGAAGCUUUUCGAAAAUCCAGGCGGAAGGAUGGCAAUGACUUGACCCAGCAGCUAGCAGUGGGGGUGGUGAGAAACAGUUAGCUUCUAGAUCUGUUUUGAAGGACGGGCCAAGAGGAUUUGCUGAUGGGCUGGAUGUGGGAUGUGGGGAAAGCGGGUGGCAAGGAUGACACCCAGGGGCUUUGGCCUGGGUGACCAGAAGGAUGGAGCUGCCGGUAAGGGGACGGGCAGGUGGCCGGUAGAGCAGGUUUCGGGGGACAGAUGAGGAGCUCAGCUUCCACAUACUUAAGAUGCCUAUUAGUUACCGGCAUGUUUUUGCGUCCUAAAGUAAUGCAUCUAAGACGGCAAUUUUCUUUAAUCUAUAUAUGGAAAUAAUGAAAUACCAUACAUUUCUCCCCCCCCCACCCCCGAAAUGGAAACACAAGAUUGCCCUUUUCUGUAAAAUUCUAUGCCUGGCCAUUUCCUGUGCGGGUGCACUAGGAUUCCAUGUUUCUUAGAGGAGACGUCAGCCCGGAUCCCGUUUUAGAACCAGUAGAAUUGUGCACCGCUGAUGUUUGCUUCACUGUAUAAGGUAUUUAUUUACUUUUUUUUUAAGUUUAUUUAUUUUGAGAGAGAAGGUGUGAGCAGGGGAGGGGCAGAGAGAGAGGGAGAAAGAAAGAAUCCCCAGCAGGCUCCGAGCUGUCAUCGUGACCUGAGCCGAAAUCAAGACUCGGAUGCUUGAGGCACCCCUAAGAAACUUAUUUUUAUAGUAAGCCUGUUGGGGAAAAAAACAGGUAACUUACUCUAUUUCCAUACCUGAGUAAAAUGAUGCUAAGUACAAUUUAUCCAAUGACUGAGGUCUUGGGUCACCACUUAGAAUAAGCAGCUGCCCGCUGGGCACGCUGAGGGCCUCCUAUGUGCUGGUAGCUCUCCUCACUGUCACCGCGACAGGUAUGUGAGGUCCCUUGGGUGAGUUGGAGUUUUUGCCAUGGUGUUCGCUCAUUCUAUCCUUCCCGCUUUUUUUCCUUGUGUCCACCCCCCCCCCACACGCACAUACACACAGAUGAUAUUUUUAGCACACUUGCUUUCCAUUUCUGUUCUGACUGUUGAAAUACCUUUUUCUUUUCCUUUCUCUUCCCCUUGCCUUCCCGGCGAGUUCCAAUGAGCUGAGGUUGCCAUAUGUGAUUCUUAGAUAAGUGGGCUGUUACUAGUUUUGCAUUUUCCCUUCUGCAACUUUAACUUUUUGCCUGAGCUGCUGGGGGCCAUACUUACAGGCCAAGGGCCGGGUUGAUGCUGAAAAGCUACUAGUGGAUGACAUCUGACAAGAUACAGAUAAUCAAGAGUAUAGUCAUGACUGUGUCUAUGCAGAACUGGUCUGUAUCCUUUUCCUUGGCUAGAUAAGUUUUAUAUACUCCCCCCAAGAAUAGCAUUCUUUUUUUAAAAACAUUUUUAAAAGUUUAUUUAUUUUGAGAGAGAGAAAGUACACACAAGCUGAGGAGGGGCAUAGAGAGAGAGGGAGAGAGAGAAUCCCAAGCAGGUUCCAUGCCGUCAGCACAGAGCCCAACGCAGGGCUCGAUCCCACAAACCAUGAGAUCGUGACCUGAGCCGAGAUCAAGAGUCAGAUGCUUACCCAACUGAGCCAUCCCGGUUCCCCCACCCCCCAGGAAUAGUAUUUUUUACAGAAGAUGCCCCAAUUCGUGUUGUUGAUAACUAACACUGAGCAGAAAGAGCCAUUUCAGAGGAAGAGUUUUCGAAACUGGAAGACUGUGUAUGCCGUGAAAAUUAAUGUUAAUAAAGUCAGAUAUGUUGCUAGAUAUUCGUAUCCAGAAAAAUGGAUUUAUCACUGAAUUAACUUAAAAAAUUUUUGCCUGGUCCAAAAAUUACUUUUAAUUCUAACCACCGAAUGAUAAAUCAUAGUUCCUAGAAUGGAUGCAUUCUUCCAACAGCUGGUUUACUCGGAUUAUUCGGGAUUUUUGCUGGAAUCCAAGUGGUCUUUCAAGAGAACCGAUGAUUUUCUGAUGAAGCUGUUCACACGCUUUUGAAGCCAGGAGAAGGGGUGAGUAUUAAUUUGCAUUCUCUUCGGCUAUAGAAUUCUCUCUCAGGCCAGCAGUGUUUGAUGAAGUCUGAAUUCCCAUUUCAGUUGUAUAGACAACAAGACUGUAUGAAGGUAUGAAAUUGUCUUGGUAAGACGAAGUAAAAUUGGGCCACCACACAAGCAAACAUGGACAUCACCUGUAUCUGGAGUCUCAAAGUCAUGAAAUACGCAGUGUUUGAAAGGAUACGAGAAAUACAUUGAUUUGAUUUGAUUUUUUUCUUUUUGGCCAUCCUUCGUGUUACAAAACAGUUGAAGCUUAGUAUCAUUUCAAGCACGGAGUGUAAAGUGAUCGGUGAGGCUGGAUGGAGGAAAGGCAAAAGAAAUGAAUUUGAAGGACAAAAAAAAACAAAAACAAAAACAAAAAACCACAUAUCCUUCGAAGACCUCCCUGUCUCGAGGACAGAAAAUGCCUUGGCAGUCGCGAUUUUUGUGCAGUCAGAAGGGAGCUGAUUUCCCAGCUGUUCUGGUGUAUUUUCCUUAUUAGUCUUUGCUCCCACGGUCUAAGAGCAAAUACCGGAUCUAAGCGCCUACAGUACUGGUCAAGGACUGCAGCUUCCCUCGUGUGUGACUCACAGGCGCG